rnacentral:rRNA from 1 species
UGCGGAAGGAUCAUUACCGUUUGCUUACGGCUGCCCCUCGGGGUAGCCUGUAACGCUCACCCUUUGCCCUUUUCGAACCUGUUUGUUCCCCCUCGCCGGGCUCGCCCGGCGGGGGUCCAUUCAAAAACCUUGCAGUACAGCAGUACCUGUCUGAACUAUAACAAAUGUUAAAACUUUCAACAAUGGAUCUCUUGGUUCUGGCAUCGAUGAAGAACGCAGCGAAAUGCGAUACGUAGUGUGAAUUGCAGAAUUCAGUGAAUCAUCGAAUCUUUGAACGCACAUUGCGCCCUUUGGCAUUCCUUAGGGCAUGCCUGUUCGAGCGUCAUUUUCACCCAUCAAGCCCGGCUUGGUGUUGGGCGCCUGUCCGGUUACGCCGGACUCGCCUAGAAAGCAUUGGCGGCCCGUCCCGCGGCUUGGAGCGCAGCACAAUUGCGCCUCCACCCCCGGGCUGGCGACCAGCAAGCGAAUUUAUCACUUUGACCUCGGAUCAGGUAGGGAUACCCGCUGAACUUAAGCAUAU